rnacentral:rRNA from 1 species
UACGUAGGGUGCAAGCGUUAAUCGGAAUUACUGGGCGUAAAGAGCUCGUAGGUGGUUUGUCGCGUUGUCCGUGAAAACUCACAACUCAAUUGUGGGCGUGCGGGCGAUACGGGCAGACUGGAGUACUGCAGGGGGAGACUGGAAUUCCUGGUGUAGCGGUGGAAUGCGCAGAUAUCAGGAGGAACACCGGUGGCGAAGGCGGGUCUCUGGGCAGUAACUGACGCUGAGGAGCGAAAGCGUGGGGAGCGAACAGG